rnacentral:rRNA from 1 species
GCUUCGCUGACGAGUGGCGGACGGGUGAGUAAUGUCUGGGAAACUGCCUGAUGGAGAGGGAUAACUACUGGAAACGGUAGCUAAUACCGCAUAACGUCGCAAGACCAAAGAGGGGGACCUUCGGGCCUCUUGCCAUCGGAUGUGCCCAGAUGGGAUUAGCUAGUAGGUGGGGUAACGGCUCACCUAGGCGACGAUCCCUAGCUGGUCUGAGAGGAUGACCAGCCACACUGGAACUGAGACACGGUCCAGACUCCUACGGGAGGCAGCAGUGGGGAAUAUUGCACAAUGGGCGCAAGCCUGAUGCAGCCAUGCCGCGUGUAUGAAGAAGGCCUUCGGGUUGUAAAGUACUUUCAGCGGGGAGGAAGGCGACAAGGUUAAUAACCUUGUCGAUUGACGUUACCCGCAGAAGAAGCACCGGCUAACUCCGUGCCAGCAGCCGCGGUAAUACGGAGGGUGCAAGCGUUAAUCGGAAUUACUGGGCGUAAAGCGCACGCAGGCGGUCUGUCAAGUCGGAUGUGAAAUCCCCGGGCUCAACCUGGGAACUGCAUUCGAAACUGGCAGGCUAGAGUCUUGUAGAGGGGGGUAGAAUUCCAGGUGUAGCGGUGAAAUGCGUAGAGAUCUGGAGGAAUACCGGUGGCGAAGGCGGCCCCCUGGACAAAGACUGACGCUCAGGUGCGAAAGCGUGGGGAGCAAGCAGGAUUAGAUACCCCGGUAGUCCACGCCGUAAACGAUGUCGACUUGGAGGUUGUGCCCUUGAGGCGUGGCUUCCGGAGCUAACGCGUUAAGUCGACCGCCUGGGGA